UCGAUUGCACUGAAGCCCCCUUUUGGAGCCUGCAUGGGCACUUAUACGCACAAAACAGAAGCAGGCCAUCUAUAUCCCCUUUAAUAUUAAGCUCCAUCAAUGCUAAUAAUGGCAUCAUGGCUGUAUUGAUAGGUUCUCACAUAAAGGCUCCAUUUAUGGUUAUUUUCUGAUGGUCGAAAUUAAUUAUUCACAGGUUAGGAUGAAGGUAGACACACGCUCAGAGAGAGAGGGGCUGUGGCUACUGUUGGAGGGUCAAUAAACUCUCCCAACAAACAAAAUGCCAAACAGAGUGGAUAGGGGGGCUCGAUUAGAGAAAUUUCAGGAGUUUUUUUUUACGGUAAAGAUUUAAUAAAUGAAACCGUGACAACAGUUAUGUUUGUUGGCAUAAAGGGGGGGUGGGAAGUGUGGGACUGCAGGGUUUGACAAACGGCUGUGUGGACAUUUCAACGUGCAAUACCCCGGGAAGGAGCUGCAGAGCUGUGCGCAGAGAGCCCAGGCACCCACCGUCUCCAAGUCUCUCUUUUACACUCUGUAAACACUGCAGACUCUGCUAUUGAAGACUCAUAUUUUCAUAAGCUAAAUACUAUCGUUCACAUUGAUUUGUGCGCUUGACUUUUUUUUUUCCACCCCUCCUCCAUAUGGACAAGCACGACCUUUGACACCUUCGACACAAGCAAGUGGAAGGUGAUCUGGAUGAACAAUGUCAUCGCUCUGGAAACAAAACAGCCCGACGAGAGAGAAAGCUCAUUUCUGCUCCGGAGCAGACAAGCUGCGUCCUGGGAUUUCGGGCGGGGAGCACACAGAAGAGUACCUGUAAUUUGACUUGCCACGUCUAAAUGGAAGUUGAAUGGGUAACAUUGUGCAACAACAAAUAAAAUGCUCACAAUGCUU